GAUGAACGCUGGCGGCGUGCCUAAUACAUGCAAGUCGAGCGAACAGACGAGGAGCUUGCUCCUCUGACGUUAGCGGCGGACGGGUGAGUAACACGUGGAUAACCUACCUAUAAGACUGGGAUAACUUCGGGAAACCGGUGCUAAUACCGGAUAAUAUAUUUAACCGCAUGGUUCAAUAGUGAAAGACGGUUUUGCUGUCACUUAUAGAUGGAUCCGCGCCGCAUUAGCUAGUUGGUAAGGUAACGGCUUACCAAGGCAACGAUGCGUAGCCGACCUGAGAGGGUGAUCGGCCACACUGGAACUGAGACACGGUCCAGACUCCUACGGGAGGCAGCAGUAGGGAAUCUUCCGCAAUGGGCGAAAGCCUGACGGAGCAACGCCGCGUGAGUGAUGAAGGUCUUCGGAUCGUAAAACUCUGUUAUUAGGGAAGAACAAAUGUGUAAGUAACUAUGCACGUCUUGACGGUACCUAAUCAGAAAGCCACGGCUAACUACGUG
rnacentral:rRNA from 1 species